rnacentral:rRNA from 1 species
UUAAGACAGAUCUUUUCGGAGUGAAGACUUUUGUGACUCAUUGGCGGACGGGUGAGUAACGCGUGGGUAACCUGCCUCAUAGAGGGGGACAACAGUUGGAAACGACUGCUAAUACCGCAUAGUAAGAAGGAUUCGCAUGUUUUCUUCUUGAAAGCUUUUGCGCUAUGAGAUGGACCCGCGUCUGAUUAGCUAGUUGGUAAGGUAACGGCUUACCAAGGCGACGAUCAGUAGCCGGCUUGAGAGAGUGAACGGCCACAUUGGGACUGAGACACGGCCCAGACUCCUACGGGAGGCAGCAGUGGGGAAUAUUGCACAAUGGGGGAAACCCUGAUGCAGCGACGCCGCGUGAGUGAAGAAGUAUUUCGGUAUGUAAAGCUCUAUCAGCAGGGAAGAUAAUGACGGUACCUGACUAAGAAGCCCCGGCUAACUACGUGCCAGCAGCCGCGGUAAUACGUAGGGGGCAAGCGUUAUCCGGAUUUACUGGGUGUAAAGGGUGCGUAGGUGGCAAGGCAAGUCAGAUGUGAAAGCCCGGGGCUCAACCCCGGUAUUGCAUUUGAAACUGUUUAGCUAGAGUGCAGGAGAGGUAAGUGGAAUUCCUAGUGUAGCGGUGAAAUGCGUAGAUAUUAGGAGGAACACCAGUGGCGAAGGCGGCUUACUGGACGAUUACUGACGCUGAGGCUCGAAAGCGUGGGGAGCAAACAGGAUU